UACGGGGGGGGCAAGCGUUGUUCGGAAUUACUGGGCGUAAAGGGUUCGUAGGUGGCUUGCUAAGUCAGACGUGAAAUCCCUCAGCUUAACUGGGGAACUGCGUCUGAGACUGGCAGGCUUGAGUGCAGGAGAGGAACGCGGAAUUCCAGGUGUAGCGGUGAAAUGCGUAGAUAUCUGGAGGAACACCUGUGGCGAAAGCGGCUCACUGGACCAUUACUGACGCUGAUGCACGAAAGCUAGGGGAGCAAACAGG
rnacentral:rRNA from 1 species